rnacentral:sRNA from 1 species
AGCUGAGGCACAUGGUGGUCUUCUCCUCCCGGUAUCCACCGCCGAAGCUGUUCCCCUCUGGAGGUUUUGACCUUCACACCUAGAUGGCCCCAACAGAACCGUUGCGGGCCUCUUUU